rnacentral:lncRNA from 1 species
UGCAAUUUGCACAAAAAAAACAUUAUGACAGGACACCAACCUUGUGAAAUAUAAAGGUAAAUAGAUAGAAGUCAUCUACAGAGCCAUGCCAAUAGCAGCAAAAAUGAGUUACUAGUCAUUGUGCAGUGUGCACCUUGCUGCAGAAAGCAGAGUUGUAAGAGCAGAGAGCUAUGCUCAGAGUUGUAAUAGUGUUCAUGCAUGAUUCAUCACAAACAAUGCCAUGAGCAACAAAAC